UGACAAUGAUGAGCAUUUAUCCCGAAACUGAUCAGUGAUGAGACAAACUUUUCGGAUCUGAUUUCUGAGUU